rnacentral:rRNA from 1 species
AUUGAACGCUGGCGGCAUGCCUUACACAUGCAAGUCGAACGGUAACAGGUUAAGCUGACGCGUGGCGAACGGGCGAGUAAUGUAUCGGAACGUGCCCAGUCGUGGGGGAUAACUGCUCGAAAGAGCAGCUAAUACCGCAUACGACCUGAGGGAGCAAGCGGGGGCUCGCAAGACCUCGCGCGAUUGGAGCGGCCGAUAUCAGAUUAGGUAGUUGGUGAGGUAAAGGCUCACCAAGCCGACGAUCUGUAGCGGGUCUGAGAGGACGACCAGCCACACUGGGACGGGGACACGGCCCAGACUCCUACGGGAGGCAGCGGUGGGGAAUUUUGGACAAUGGGCGCAAGCCUGAUCCAGCCAUGCCGCUGGCGGGAAGAGGUCCUUCGGGUUGUAAGCCGUUUUUGUCAGGGAAGAAAAGGGUCUGGCUAAUACCUGGGACUCGUGACGGUACCUGAAGAAUAAGCACCGGCUAACUACGUG